CGGCCCGGUCUCCAGUGGAGAGUGAAAAGGGAAUCCGGUUUGAAUCCGGAGCUGACGCGCAGCGGUAUGGGGAAGUCACGGCGAUAUUUUGACACUGUCAUUGCAGAUGGGAAGUCAUCGCCCGGUGCGUAUUGGAAGAUACGCAAAUCCUAAGCCCGAAGACCUGCCGGAAUA
rnacentral:ncRNA from 1 species